GCCAUGUGAGUCUGCAACCUACUACUACACAAUUCCUUACGGCAAGGUCAAGGAUCAAAUAACAGGUGGCUUAAAUGGUACAGCAAUCAGAUCAGAAGACUUGCUCCAAAAGGACGUUACCUUUUCUCCCUGUAUCUCUAUCUGUGUUGAUAAAACAGCUUCUUAUUUGAUGAAGAAAAGCUCAUAAAGGUGGUCUGAUGAAAAAUUUGUUGAGACAAUCAUCUUUAGGCUCCAAGAUGACAGAAGGAUAUGCCUCAUUCACCCUAGCCCAUGGAGAGCCCACACUGGUGCAGGAAAAUAUGUGAAUGACCAGGAGCAAAAGAAAGAAACUGCUGUGUGCUGACCAUACCCACCUCUACCCUGGGACUGUGGCACUUGGGGUGGAUAGAGGGGAAUUAAGUGGAAGAUUGAUGCUGAGUCUGGGAGCAGGAUAAAGAAGAGAGUUUUAAUCUUUGUCUUUGUUUCUCACUACCCAAAUCCAUCUUUGUUAUAUCUUGCCACUGAGUGGCUGAGCCUGUGGACAGCUGGAAUAGUACUCUUAGUAAAGGAAAAUAAAGAAGGCCCUCAACUCCCUGCAGAGCUGGUGUCCAGGAUCUGCUCAGCUUGGAAGAAGAGAGUAUUAGAAAGGCAGUCUUGUGGUAAUGGAGUAUGUGUUGGAGACAGUCUAUGCGCAUAAUCCUAAGCCAAAUAUUUCAACAAUUUCUAUAAGGUCCAUAUUUCCCUCACUUGGCUCAAAUAUACAGUCAGGCACUGACCUGGAGCAAUGAA